CUGAUGGGCGCGUCUGGGUCAAUUGCGGACUGCAACACCCACUCUCUCUCCCCGUCCCGAACGGGAUGGAACUCACGGAGGGAGACCGCGUUUCCGUCAG
ncrna:unclassified sequences L4-Archaeoglobi ribosomal protein leader